ensembl:lncRNA
UGACAUUCAAAUUUUAAUUAGGCUUCCUACUGAGCACAAACAGCAGCCAAUCAGAAGGCAAGGUGCCAAACUUCACAUUCAAACUUGAAUUAUCAAAAAAAAAAAAAAAAAAGAAACUGAUCAGAAGGUGAACAAUAAAUUCAUCUUAAUGUUUCCAACAGAAAACGAGGACAGCCGAGGAAAACAAUCUGAAGCUGCACUGAUUUUCAAGCCAGUGUGAGCCCUGCGCUUCGUGCUCCUCUGCCACUUUCUUGACUGUGGACAGCAGAGACGCCCGAGGCCGUCAAGUCCAACCGGCUGCGACACUUGGACUUCAUGCAGGACCGGGACGGAUCCCUGCUCAACAAGGUGUGCUGUCGGGACGGCAAGAAGGAGCAGCCUUGUGUUCUCCAGAGAGCAUGUUGACUCACAUGCUGCCCCAGCCAGAUGUGCGUAAAAUGUCUCCUUCAUCAUCAUCAUCAUCAUACUACUGCUGGAUGGUGUUGUAUCUGUAUUUAUUUAUCCUGCAGUAUAAAAAUCUCAAACAAGGACUGUGGAGGGCCAUGUGGUUCACAGUCCAGGGCUACAUGUCUCGCUCUCUAACAGCUAACAGAGUUUCUUUGGGUGAUUACUUCAUUCCAGGAUUUUGCUUUAGUUUCACAAAGGGACUUAAUUCUCAUAUUUUAUCAUAUUUUACAGCGUUUGCAGUCAGUUUUAUAUAAAUCUCUCCUGAAUUCUCCUUUUCAGAAACAUCAAGAUAAACGGUUACUCAGCAAAGCAGAACCAGGGCAUUACAGUUUUUAGCCCACAAAGCUUCUGUAUUUAUUGAAUUUUGUCUAAAAAUUAUUUUAAUCAUUUGUCUCCAUAAUAAAUAGUAUUUUUUCUGAACAUGUAUUUACUGUUCUGUUCACUUUGAACUCACCAAGUGACACUGAGGAAUGGGAGAGGUUGUCUUCUCACAUGGGAACAGAAGCAAAGAAUUCAAUUCACGUACUGUGGGAAGGAACUUUUAAUGUGCAUCUUGUAAAUGUUCUAAACCAUGUUGUAAACCUGUUCUGAGCACAACAAAGAAACUUUGGAACACAUUGCUUAAUAACUUAAACUUUUAGUUUGGGUUAUUAGCCUAAUAACUCUUGAGGCUUCAAUAUUGCUUCAUAGACCGGAGGCCUGUACCAUAAAACUGGAUUUGGGCUUAGCGAGGUAACUUCAGGGUUAACCCUGGGUUUUCUGUAUCACGAAGGUGGUUUACUUUUUAUCGGGGUACGUCAAGCCGAAAUCCAGCCUUAUGGUACAGGCCUCAGAUCUGACAAAAGAUGUUCACUUUGUGACAAAUAUCGGAUAAAACUGGACAAAUUGUUUGGGGGAUUAACUGGAGUUUUGAAUUGUUUUCAGUACUAGAAAAUAACACUAUACUAGAAAACAGUUCCUCGUGGGUUUAUUUAUUCUGUUAAAUUGUGAAACAAACUUAUGAUUUAUUCUACCCGUUUACUGUGUUUCAUUUGCACGUGAUAAGAAUAUAUUGUUCUAUUGUACUAUAUUGCAUUGUUCCAUUGUAUUGCAGUUAUCCAGGACAUGCCUCUCAUUAAAGCUGUUAAUGAGCAAAUUAACAUGACUUUGCUUUAUUAACAUAGAAUUGCAAUAAUAAUAAUAAAUUAAAAGAAAGGGGGGAAAAAAAGAAAUCAUGUGGCAUGAGUGAACGGUCAUUUGAACAACCACUUUGUUUUUGUGGUACAGCUCAGUAGCACAAUAACCAUAGUUUACCUCGACAUAACAUGUAGGGAAGAAAACAAUUUAUGAUCUCUGUAAAGUCAUAACUG